ACCCUCUCAGGAUUGCACCUGGAGAGUUUCCAGUACUCUACCAGUCUCAGUUAUGUGAGGGAGAGUCUCGCAGAGGCAUACCCAUUCCAUUCCUAGUGGCCAGUGGCUAGCGAUUGGAAGGCAAUCUGCUACAAAU